GCUGGUUUUUAUUUGUUAUUAUUGGCAGGGGUUUGAAAACAAAUAUGAGCAACUUGCCUAUGGCAGGGGCGAUUCUAGGUGGGGGGACACAAGAGGGGCCAACCUUAUCAUCAAUCAAAGAUAUGUUUUGAAUUUGAACUAUAUUUGAACCCCUAUCAGUUGGGCCCGUGCCCCAGUGACCUCGUCCCUGUCUGUGUCCCUGGCUUAUGGUCACUUUAGAAGAUGGGAACACAGCCCAAAAUCAGAGAAUACGCUACGUCCUGGACGGGAUGCCAGUCCAGCAGAGGCAGCACAGUUCCCAGGGCCCAGGUACGUCCUGGACGGGAUGCCAGUCCAGCAGAGGCAGCACAGUUCCCAGGGCCCAGGUACGUCCUGGACGGGAUGCCAGUCCAGCAGAGGCAGCACAGUUCCCAGGGCCCAGGUACGUCCUGGACGGGAUGCCAGUCCAGCAGAGGCAGCACAGUUCCCAGGGCCCAGGAGGAAACCAGAGCUCCCAGGGGAGAACAUGCAAACUAAACGCACUUACUCACACAGCUGAGGCACAGCCCUGAAGUGACACCUGUCAGCAUCCUAGACAUUCCUAUUUAUGGGAAGCUCUGCUCAGUGUCCCGAGUGUCACUGUCACUAUGUGAAGUAAUGAUCUUCCCCAAAAACAGUAAGAAGAGAAACAACAGGC